rnacentral:rRNA from 1 species
AUUGAACGCUGGCGGCAGGCAUAACCCAUGCAAGUCGAGCGAGCGGCGGACGGGUGAGUACUGUAUGGGGACUGCCCGAUAGAGGGGGAUAACUACUGGAAACGGUAGCUAAUACCGCAUACUAUCGGAUAACCCAUAUGGGAUGAGCUAGUAGGUGAGGUAAUGGCUCACCUAGGCGACGAUCACUAGCUGGCCUGAGAGGAUGAUCAGCCACACUGGGACUGAGACACGGCCCAGACUCCUACGGAGGCAGCAGUGGGGAAGAUGGCACAAGUGGCGCAAGCCUGAUGCAGCCAUGCCGCGUGGAUGAAGAAGGCCCUAGGGUUGUAAAGUACUUUCAGUCGGGAGGCGUUACCGACAGAAGAAGCACCGGCUAACUCCGUGCCAGCCGCCGCGGUAAUUC